AGCAGCCGCGGUAAUUCCAGCCCCAAUAGCGUAUAUUAAAGUUGUUGCAGUUAAAAAGCUCGUAGUUGAAUUUCGGGGUCAGUAGGUUGGUCAUGCCACUGGUAUGUACUGGUCUCACUGAUUCCUCCUUCCUGAUGAGCCGUAAUGCCAUUAAUUUGGUGUUGCGAGGAAUCUGGACUGUUACUUUGAAAAAAUUAGAGUGUUUAAAGCAGGCUAACGCUUGAAUACAUUAGCAUGGAAUAAUGAAAUAGGACGUUCGAUCUUAUUUUGUUGGUUUCUAAGAUUGACGUAAUGAUUAAUAGGGAUAGUUGGGGGCAUUAGUAUUCAAUUGUCAGAGGUGAAAUUCUUGGAUUUAUUGAAGACUAACUACUGCGAAAGCAUUUGCCAAGGAUGUUUUCAUUAAUCAAGAACGAAAGUUAGGGGAUCGAAGACGAUCAGAUACCGUCGUAGUCUUAACCAUAAACUAUGCCGACUAGGGAUCGGAUGAUGUUUAAUUUUUAAUUGACCCUAUUCGGCGUAC
rnacentral:rRNA from 1 species